rnacentral:rRNA from 1 species
UACAGAGGGGGCAAGCGUUAUUCGGAAUUAUUGGGCGUAAAGGGCGCGUAGGCGGCGAUUCAAGUGGCGGGUGAAAUCCCUCGGCUUAACCGAGGAACUGCCUGCCAGACUGGAUUGCUCGAGUCCGGGAGAGGUGAGUGGAAUUCCCAGUGUAGCGGUGAAAUGCGUAGAUAUUGGGAGGAACACCAGUGGCGAAGGCGGCUCACUGGACCGGAACUGACGCUGAGGCGCGAAAGCGUGGGGAGCAAACAGG